rnacentral:antisense_RNA from 1 species
CGCCAACAGCGCACGCUGACAAAGCACCGAGCGCACGCAGUCCUGUUUGGUAAAGCGUACCACCCCAACCAUCUCAUCCUCCUGAAAACGCGCCAGCGCAUCCCCCAAACCAGACGGUACAUGUGCCGGCAAGUCGCACUGGGUAAUAUCCCCGUUAACGAUCACCGUGACAUUCUCACCCAAACGGGU